rnacentral:snoRNA from 1 species
CCAACGUUGACAUCCAAUGUUCAGGCCCUGCCUGUUACAAUGAAUGUCUGUGUGGCAGAUGGGAGCUGAGAACCCCUUGGGGUGUGAGGUAUAUUCCCUUUCCACAACGUUGGAAACAAACCAGUCCCCCAUUGUUUGUUGGGUGUGGGCUGGCUCCUUCAUAUUCCAUAGAUUUCUCUGAGCCACUGUGUGGCAGUGACAGGGGAGGCAAACCAUGCAGGAGACAAUU